CUCAUUGGCUACAACAACAUUGAUGCAUUUUUUGCGCGAAGAUGGAGGCCUCCCUUUGUCUUCGCCAAAGCCAGUAGGAAAUUACUGUGCCUCUAACCUCCUGAGAAAAUCCCCAGACCAUUGCAGGAGCAUUCUACUGAUUGGACUCCCUGCUACUAAAAACACGUUUCUCUGCUCAGCCUUCCUCCUUGGUCUGCAAUCUUGGCUUCAAGAUAGAAGCCUUUCCCUAGUCAAGGCUAAUCCCUUGGUAAUUGGAGUCCCACGGUCUUCUGGAGAACUGUAAGAGCCAAUCACUCCUGCUCUGAAAUUGUUCACCUGUUUUUCUCUCAAGGCCUUUUCUCUUCAUUGUAUAAGCAUAGCUAUGUCCCUUUCUUCUUGUAUAACAGACAUCCCUGUUUACCUCGAGUCAUCUCCCUAUACCUUUCUUCAUAGUCAAGUUUUAUUAAAAAC
ensembl:lincRNA